UGUGAGUUAUGAGUGCAACAUCCCACCGAGGGGACAAAUUCAAAGCUACUAUUAUGAGAAAGGGUAAUAUAAGAUGUAGUCAUAGGUAAAGAUGAGCAUUUUGAAAAGGGUAAUUACAAAAGCACACGAAGAUAGAUGAGCAGCUCAUGAAAAUUCGAGUCUACUUUUUUACAGUGCACGUGAAAAACAGAUUGUGAGCAGACAUCAGCAAGAAGAGGACGAAGGAGCAAUGGAAGCUAUUGUUGCAAACCACAUGAAGGGCGCCAUUUUGAGUAACUGCAGAGUGUUGCCAGGAGCAACACCCACAAAAUGAAACAGCAGUAUUUCCUUCCGAUGAUGAGGAUCAACCACUCUCGCCAUGAUAGUGUCUCAUUUUCUUGUCUGUUAUUCACAAGACAAAAAGACUCCAACUAUUUGCAACCUGAUAUUUAUCAAACGGUCUUUCUGCAUCAGGCACUUGCUAUUAGGAUGAUGGCCAACUGUAAGUACCUCCUUUAAAAGGAACAUAGUCUGAUCCAGCUGGUUGUUUAGGGAAAGCUGACAGAUUGAUUACAACUACAAGAAGAUUUGAAAACCACUAAGUGUCUGUGUUCCAACAACUUGACUUCUAAUGCUUCUUAUUCAAAAAAAUGGUAAAACCACCAACACAAAUGCCCAGACCUGAAACCUAGAGCUCAUGUUGACAUUCCCUUCAUGAUCCUUUCAAGACAUCAACAUUUCCCACAUUUUACCACUUCUCUAUCAACCUUGUAGAAGGCUCCAUCAAUUCUAGCCAGGAAAACCAAAUGGAUUUUCUCAAGAAGCUGAACACACAGCCAUUGGAAGAUCUUUUAAAAGUAAAUUUCUUGUGCUAUUAUCUAACUGAAAUACUA